CUUUGCCAGACAACAAGCUUCCAACAUGAGGACCAUGAUGAAGCGGUUUUAAAGGGACACAUGGAUUUCAUGGUCGAAGAGAUGUCCAGGCGCUCACCGGACGUAAAAAAACUGAGUGACUCUAUGGAGCAGACACGUUCCUCAAGAAGAUCGUGGAUUAUGGAGAAGCAGCCAACGACAGCCGAAAUACUUGAAAAGUAUCCGGUUUUAUCAAAUGCUGAAAUGGUCUGUAUAAUGUGAUCACAAUGUUUGCAUUGCAUGCUUUCACUUAUAUUUACCAGAUGUCUUUCUGCCUCGUACAGGUUUUCAGAAAUAGCCUGUGAAAGGGUUACUAGGUGUUUAGCUCCACGAAGAGUUCACGGCUGUCACGGGCAUUGAGAUGGAAACGAAGUUGUUGGCAUUCAUCAACAACUACGGUCAGAAGUGUCUCGACUUAGUGAAGUGUCGUCGCUCGGCAAAAGAGUCUGUACAGCAGCUUGAGGCUGAGCUUGAACAACUGGAAGAAAAUGCCCGUAAAUAUCGGUUUGCAGUUGGCUGUGUAGAACUGCUGCCAUUACUAGUGAGAGAACAGCCAAACUUUUUGAGGGGCCCUGUAAACAACUUCACAUUUCAUUUUCUGUUUUACCAUUUUGUUUCUGCUGCUAAUAGGGAGUACUAACGUUUAUAUCUUAAACUUUACAGGACGUGCACCCUACCCUUCAUUUUGAGGGCACAAAUGCUUAUGAGGCAAGAGACAUCACUUGUCUUUGAAGCUUUCAACAUUGAAGUCAUCGACAUAAUAGCCGGUAUGACAGCUGUCAUGGAACUGUAUUGGGUGCUCGAUGUAAAGUAUGCGGACCACAACAAGAACACCUUAGCACUGUUGGAGCACUUCUGCGAUUUGCCAAGUGUGCCGAAAGCGCCAUUGCUUCUGAGGGCCAUUUCUGCGAUCAAAAGUGGAUCAAACAGCGUGGGCCAAUGAGUGGAAAUAUAGAGCGAAUAAACAAUGAAAACUACUUGUGAAGUACUGUGUUUCUUCAUUAUGGCUUUUCACAUGAGCCAUGGUUCUGGUUACGUUUGCACAAAAUUAGUUAAUGAGAGAGUAGUGUAUGUGUCACGAAAGUUACUGAGCUAGCACUAUCAUUACGAAGUUCAAUUAUUAAGAGGGUUGGACGUGUUACUAACUGCAGUCACUGAGAGGUUAGGACCAGUUACUAACUGUAGUUACUAAGAAGGUAGUAUUUGUUACUAACAUGCUGCUCACUCCAGUUACUAAGAGGGUAGCAACUGUUACUGAAUGCAUUUACUAAGAGGUUAGAACCAGUUACUAACUGCAGUUACUAAGAAGGUAGUAUCUGUUACU